GAUGAACGCUGGCGGCGUGCCUAACACAUGCAAGUCGAACGGGAACCCUUGGAUUCGUCUGGGGGGGAGAGUGGCGAACGGGUGAGUAACACGUUGGUGACCUGCCCCAAAGAGGGGAAUAACCACUGGAAACGGUGGCUAAUACCCCAUGUGCUUGGUGAUUCGUUUCACCAAGUAAAGCUCCGGCGCUUUGGGAGGGGCCUGCGGCCCAUCAGGUAGUUGGUAGGGUAACGGCCUACCAAGCCUAUGACGGGUAGGGGGCGUGAGAGCGUGAUCCCCCACACUGGUACUGACACACGGACCAGAUACCUACGGGUAGCAGCAGCAAGGAAUAUUGCCCAAUGGACGCAAGUCUGAGGCAGCAACGCCGCGUGGAGGAUGAAGGCCUUCGGGUUGUAAACUCCUUUUCUGGGGGAAGAGAUAGGACGGUACCCCAGGAAUAAGUCUCGGCUAACUACGUG
rnacentral:rRNA from 1 species